GGGUGAGAUUUGAUCCUGGCUCAGGACGAACGCUGGCGGCGUGCUUAACACAUGCAAGUCGAACGAUGAUGCCCAGCUUGCUGGGCGGAUUAGUGGCGAACGGGUGAGUAAUACGUGAGUAACCUGCCCUUGACUCUGGGAUAAGCCUGGGAAACUGGGUCUAAUACUGGAUACUACCUCUUGCCGCAUGGUGGGUGGUGGAAAGGGUUUUACUGGUUUUGGAUGGGCUCACGGCCUAUCAGCUUGUUGGUGGGGUAAUGGCUCACCAAGGCGACGACGGGUAGCCGGCCUGAGAGGGUGACCGGCCACACUGGGACUGAGACACGGCCCAGACUCCUACGGGAGGCAGCAGUGGGGAAUAUUGCACAAUGGGCGGAAGCCUGAUGCAGCGACGCCGCGUGAGGGAUGACGGCCUUCGGGUUGUAAACCUCUUUCAGUAGGGAAGAAGCGAGAGUGACGGUACCUGCAGAAGAA
rnacentral:rRNA from 1 species